CUCACUUUCGCAAUGCUCAAAUGUAAGGGAUGUGUAGUGUUCCAAAUAUUGGUAUAGGAAGUAUUGGAAAAAUAAAGUGUGGCGUGCUUCAGCGAAGAUUGGAUGUCAUUUACAUUUUGGCUCAUUAGCAGCGAACCUUCAAGGGCAAGAGUCGAACCGAGUGAACAUCACACCAUAAUGAGAAUGAUGAAUUUCUUGAUGCAUUCUUUGUCUCUAUAUUGGUAUCUAAAAUUUGCUAGUGAGGAUACUUUAUCUAUUAGAAUGGCCUUCGAAGGUCCUUAAUUUAGUAGUGAUUUUAUGAUCCUAAUUUAGAGAUCGAUGACAUUGACAUUAGAAAUGUGUUGCAAAAGGCAGACCUAUAACCUGUAUACUUCAAUUACAUUGUCUCUUUUGAAAGCUAUGCAUGUCUGAUAGAAAUCUGAUUUCUUUUGCACAUCUAAAUUUGAAAAUAAUCUCCAAGCAAGUGCAAUACCUAGAAACAAAUUCUAAUCCUUUAUGCAAUUGUAUACCCUAAUAUGAGGAAUUAAGUCUUUCCUCAUGUAGUCCACCGCAAGUCGCACGAAGAAUGAAGCUAGCCGAGAUGGAAAAAGUAGUGUUGAAGAAGUUGAAGAGCUUGUGUGGAGGAAGUUGUCCCCAAUCAUAUGUCUGAUAAAGUUUUAUCCACAUUGUAACAAUCACUAAGAAAGUUUCUCUUGGGAAUGUCGUGUGUAUUCUCCCUUUGACACCAUAAGUUCUAUUCUUUUGCUUAGUGGCUAUAUUUCCAUUUUUUAUAGAUACAAGUGUGAUCUUGCUAAAAUGACAUAAUGUGUCGUGUCAAAAGAUCCAUGAAAAUGUAAAGAUUACAUCCAAGAAAUCGUAAAAGCAUGGAACAAGCCUUGAUGUUGAUGAGGCGUAUAAAUGGUAUCAUUUUAACAGAAGCUGAAAUAAAAUUUCAUAGAUGAGUAUUUA